CUCGGUAUUUAUAGAUCUCAUCCAUGUCCUCGGCUGCGGAGGCAUCCGUAAUCUCUUGCAGAUGUUGGAGAGAACAAAGCCAGCCAGUGACUUGGAGGAACCACUCGGUUGACAGGUCUGUCUGCCAGGAACCCAACUGUUCAUCUGGCAGAAACCGAGGUGUGGAUCUGAUUAGGAACUCGCUUCCCUGGACCUGCGUCCUCCUUGCCUGCCACAGCCCUGUGACCACAGCCCCCUGGCCAGCUUGUCCCACCAGGAGGUCUCUGGGGAGCUUUCGGGACUGGAGAAUCACCACAGAGCUCCUGGGUCACAGGUGAACUCAAUAGCUCUGGAAAGAGAGACAAGAACUGGCUCUGUGGAAAAUGAGUGUAUGGAGCUGCAUGACAUGGACUUCUGGCAGCAUCUGCAGGAAGCAUCUAAUGCAUGCAAGCAGCUUCGCAUCGUGCCAAGGGAAUGAGGAUGGCCACUGUGUACCAGUUAAAUCCCACGUGUAGCAUCUGCUGCAGGACAGCUUUAUGUCAAGGCCAGAGCUCCCAAGACAACGUAAAGCAAGGCAGCUGCAGAGAGGGGCCUUUCACGUCAAGCUCACCACUUGCAUCCUCCUCAAGGACCAC